rnacentral:rRNA from 1 species
CAAUAGCGUAUAUUAUAGUUGUUGCAGUUAAAAAGCUCGUAGUUGGACUUCUGAUGUUGGGAUUCGGUCCACCGCAAGGUGAGCACUGAUGUCCUGAUGUCUUCCUCUCGUAGUUGUUUGGCGCACUUGAUUGGGUGCCGAAUGAAUAUGGGACCUUUACUUUGAAAAAUUAGAGUGUUCAAAGCAGGCGAUCGCUUGAAUACAUUAGCAUGGAAUAAUGGAAAAGGACUGCAACCUCUUCUGUUGGUCUGGGAGGCUGAAGUAAUGAUUAAUAGGGAUAGUUGGGGGCAUUAGUACUUUCCAGUCAGAGGUGAAAUUCUCCAAUUUGGUAAAGACUAACUUAUGCGAAAGCAUUUGCCAAGGAUGUUUUCAUUAAUCAAGAACGAAAGUUAGGGGAUCAAAGAUGAUCAGAUACCAU